GCAGCCGCACACACUGGCCUUUCCCUGUGCGCCCUUGAAGAAGCGGAAGUGUUGGCGCAGUGUGCGGGAGGCCGGGGCGAACCUGCUGCGCUCUCCAGCCGCGGAUGAGGACAAGGAUCACGGGCUGCAGCCUUCACCAAAGCGCUUCAGCCAGCUGCUCCCUUUUCCCGUAGUGCUCUCAGGGACGCUUGCGGGAUUUAACCGAAUGCCUGCGCACAGCCCCGAGGCACACAUGCACCUUGCUGCUUCUUUCCGCUCACCUCACGGCUGAUUCCAAAUCAGGGUGGUGGCCACAGCUGCUUAGCCACCAGUUGGUCCAAGGAAGGUAACGAGUUCGCCCGUGGGUUUUACCCACACUCUAGAGGUGACCCCCAAAUCCCAGAGAGAUGAACAGCUUGGCGCGCCAUCCUCCGCCCCCGCUGACCCAGUUACAGAGGGCCAGGGCUGCGGCACGUGGGCAAAGCGCUGAGGCUGCGGCCUUCAGGGUUAUUUUUCCAGGAAGGAAUAAGCACGCAUGAGAAACUGCCAGGGCUGGCAAGAGGCGGAUGGCCCCGUUCUCCAAUCCUUUUCUCCCCCAAUCUGUGCUGUUCACUUCUGGGUCGCUCUUCCACGAUUUACAACUCCCAAGCUUGUGUGACAGAAACCAAAGGGUUGUGUUCAACCCAGCCACACCCUGAAAUGCUGCACAGUAAGGGUGACACACAGCCGGUCACGCUUUGGGACGUGCAGUCUGCCAGCUGGGGACAUCACCCUGCGCUCCCACAGGAUGCGGAUCCGCCCUGUAAUCCACAGUCUUCCCGACAAGAAGCACAGCAGAACGGGAACAUUAGGUGGUUGUCUCUUUUUCCUGAGGCAGCUAGCAAUUUUGUUGUCAGUAUUGAAAUUAUGGGACCAGAGCGCUAUUUAAUAAACGGCAUGGUGGAGAAGAAGUUAAAGAGGAGGACUGGAGACAGGACUGGAGAGGGAUGUAUGGAACAAAUUAAGGACUGGGAGAAGGAGGAAGCAGGUGAGAAACAUGUCAAAGCUCAUAUGACCAGCUCCACUUCGUUUUUGGUGUGUGGACCUUGGGGAAGGAAAGGGAACAAAUAUGGCAGCUUCACAUCCUUCAAGCACUGACCCUGUGCAAGCUCAUCUGAUAUGGUCUCAUCUAACUCUCACAAAUCAUAAGAAUUAACAGUGUCCACCGGCACAAGGAAGCCAGGUCAUCUGUCAACAACCAUUAGGCUCUGAACCCAGGUGGUUAAACUCUAGAAUCUGCAUCCUUCCCCCACAUUGCUUCGUGGUCUUGUUUCCAGGCUGGGGACUCAGGAGAUGGUGGUACAACUGGCUGGGAUGGAAAGUCAGGAGGAGGAGCAGGUGGCCAUGUCUGUGGUGGCUGUGUGGGCAGAUGAGGUAGUGUGUGGGCCCUGUGCAGAGCAUGGAUGUUCACAGUGGGCUCCUUACGCUUCUUCAAGGGUGCGAGAUGUCCAGUGGGCACCAUGUUCCAAGGCAGAGAGGGAGCUGAUUUUCAUUAAAAAGAAUGAAACAUCUGUAAAAAUACUGUUGGCUGGGUUUCCCAGUCAGGUUAUUAAAGAAAGGCCUGCCAUACUAACAAACAGGAAGACCGUGCAUGUCCCAGUGGAAGGUCUGGCCAGAGCUUAAGAAAAAGCAGAUUCAUCAGCAAAAUACUCAGGCCUCUGGAACAUGAGGAGUGCCUCAUGGAGAAGCCUACAGAAGAGACCAGGACCAAGCUUUGAAGAAGGAGAGGGGAAGUCCCUGAGGCUUCCUCCCUCUUCAUUGCUAGGGACCAGAGCAUCCCAUUGGAAUCACCUGGGAGUUCUGUGCCCAGAACUAGAUAAAUCAGAAUGUCUUGGAAUGGACUUUCCAGGUGAUCCUAAUGUGAUGCAAGGAUGAAAGCCCACAGAUAAAGGAGGAAGGUUUGUCCUGGGAGGUGACUAGAGAGCCAGACAAAUAACUAAUGUUUACAAAGCCCUUCUCUAUUGAGAAAGCACUCACACAUAUGUGGCAUUACUUAAGGAAUAUCUCAUUGUCACCCACUUAUCAGAUGGGGAAACCAAUACCAAAGAGAGACAUGACUUGCUUAAGGUCAGCCAUUAUUUACCGGAAAAGCCAGGACUAGAACUUAGAUAGAGCUGCUGAUUUCAGAUUCAGGGCUUUUUCAUAACUCCAUACAGGGCAACACCUCAGAGGGAAAGCCAAGUUUGUCUGUAUCCACCCAGAAAGUGAAAAUGUAGAUAUUUUAAAAGUAACACUGAUUCAUGGAGUUCACCUAAAGUUAAAGUUCAGUGUACUGAAAUGUCAGGAGGUGGAAUAGCAUGAGAUCAGGCCGAGGAGAACCCGGGAAACCCAGAUGGCCCAGGCCAAGAGCCAGUGAGGAAUUACGAUGGGAAAAAGAGUCAGGGAAGACAGGAGGGUGCCAAGGUUCUGCCCAGGCCUGGGAGGCCCCAGGGCCUGGGAUCCAGACACAACCUUUGGGCUGCCUAUCCUAGGAAAUCUGAAAAAUUCUUGAGGUUAUUUAUCAGUUCAUAGAAUUUCUUCUGGGACUUAUGGGACACCUGAGGGCCUAAGGAGCAUGGAAUCAUCUGACUAGCCAGAUUCUAAUCACAUGCUAAUUCACAUAGCACUGUGUCAUUUAAAAUACAGUGACAUCUUCCAUUCCCAUGAUUGGUCAAGGUGACUGUUACUUCCCACCUCUGGAGAUUCACAUGUGAAACCGGAAUAAUACCUUACACAAACACGAGGAUGCGCGGAAUCAUGUGUCUGAUGAAAUGCCCAGCACACAGGUGGGUGUGGGACAAGUGCCAGCACCUCCUGGUUGUGUUUUGUGACUGCGGAUGGUCAGGCUCACCGCAUCACAUGUGGUCUAAGCCGUCAAGAAUGUGACCACAAGUUGGUUACCCAUAUGAAAUAAUAAAAGAGAUACCUGAA